rnacentral:rRNA from 1 species
GUAGUCAUAUGCUUGUCUCAAAGAUUAAGCCAUGCAUGUCUAAGUAUAAGCAAUCUAUACAGUGAAACUGCGAAUGGCUCAUUAAAUCAGUUAUCGUUUAUUUGAUAGUACCUUACUACAUGGAUAACCGUGGUAAUUCUAGAGCUAAUACAUGCUAAAAAUCCCGACCUCUGGAAGGGAUGUAUUUAUUAGAUAAAAAACCAAUGGCUUCGGCCUCCUUGGUGAUUCAUGAUAACUUUACGAAUCGCAUGGCCUUGUGCCGGCGAUGGUUCAUUCAAAUUUCUGCCCUAUCAACUUUCGAUGGUAGGAUAGUGGCCUACCAUGGUUUCAACGGGUAACGGGGAAU